UGGAAAUCACUGAGUCUUUGGAACAAAACAAACUUCAAAUUCAUGAUCUUUCGGGAAGUUAUUAACACCUCCAAGGCUCGGUUUCUUCACCUGCAAGACAGGAUUAACAAUGGAAAAUCAUAUGGCUCAAGUGGAAUCAAGCAGGAAGUGAUGUGAUUUGAUUUUUGCUACCCCUUCCAUUAUCAAAGAAAUUCUUGGUAAAUGAAAACAGCUCAAAUAAAACAACAAAUGGUAACAACGAGAAGAAACCAACAAUGCUGAACAAUGAACGAACUGAAUAAUCAAAACACUGAAGGACAAAAACACGUUUAUCUCUAAAUGUAGGUUUUGAAUGAAAAUCCAGUAAGUUUUUCAAACUAGGGGAGAACGGUAGGAAAGCACUUUCUGUACCAAUAUCAAAUUAGUCAAUUCAAGACAAUUUUAUUACAGUAAUAACCCUACUUCUCUUCUCCCCUCCCCUACCAAAAAAAAAAAAAAUUAAGAUGAGAUCCAUUUAUGUACGAACUAUUACAAACCAAAAUCACUUAAAUCCAGACGUAACCUUGUUAUUCUAACAGUAUGUUUUAAUACAUCAGUAUAUUGAUCAUAGUAAGAAACGGAUUCUUGUAGGAUCUUCCAUAAUAAAUGGGGGAGAGGGGAAGCUUGGGGAAAGAAUACAAUUGGAGGUCCACACCACAUGUGUAAAUAUUUAAAAGUUUUAAGAUAUGUUCUGCCUUCCUAUUUUGACAAAGAUACCUUCAUAAAGAUCUUGACGUCCA